AACGAACGCUGGCGGCAGGCCUAACACAUGCAAGUCGAGCGCGCCCUUCGGGGUGAACGGCGGACGGGUGAGUAACGCGUGGGAACGUGCCCUUUUCUACGGAAUAGCCUCGGGAAACUGAGAGUAAUACCGUAUACGCCCUUUGGGGGAAAGAUUUAUCGGAAAAGGAUCGGCCCGCGUUGGAUUAGGUAGUUGGUGGGGUAAUGGCCUACCAAGCCGACGAUCCAUAGCUGGUUUGAGAGGAUGAUCAGCCACACUGGGACUGAGACACGGCCCAGACUCCUACGGGAGGCAGCAGUGGGGAAUCUUAGACAAUGGGGGCAACCCUGAUCUAGCCAUGCCGCGUGAGUGAUGAAGGCCUUAGGGUUGUAAAGCUCUUUCAGCUGGGAAGAUAAUGACGGUACCAGCAGAAGAAGCCCCGGCUAACUCCGUG
rnacentral:rRNA from 1 species